GGGAUCUGGGGAAAGGCGGUCGCGACCUCCCCCCCCAUCGAACUCCCCUCCACCCCAACGAACCGCGCUUUAGAAGCCUUGAAAAAGGUACCCGAAUUCAAAUAUGGAAAAGGCAAGAUUCGCUUUACAGCCGAUCCCUAUAUUCCUGGGGCUUUGCUUCCGCUUGGGUCAUGACUAUCUCAAGCGAUUCUGUAACAAACCAGCAGGCGAUGGAGUCUAGUUCUGUCAUUAACUCAUUUUACAGACGAAGAAACUGAUACUUCCACUAUCUAGGGCUGUCUUUAAAAUGUCAGGGGAAGAAAAAAAAGUCAGACACCCAGACACCCUUAGGAUGUGAACUUGUUAAGAGAAUUUAUUCCCCCAUCUCUACCUCCUCAUCGUCUGUGGAAAAGGGUUCACUACACCCAGCUGAGCCACCAAAUAAAACCAGCAUAUGGGGCAAUUAGGAAGCCGGCUCCUGCUUUCAAGGCCAAGAAGAAAGAGACAGAGUUCAGGGCCCCAGCUUCCCUGCCUGCUUCAGUAAUGAUCAGAAAUCCUAAUAAGCAUCCGCUUUGCCUCUCAGUAGCGCCCCUGGUCUGUCCUCCAUAAACACCAACCUGUGGUUUCACCUUUCAAAAGAAUCAUUUGUUCCACACAACAACAUCUUACCCUCUUUUGCUGCAAAUUGGCUGAGGGAGAGGAAGAAGGGAAGUGCGGAUAAACCUUUAUCACAAAGGUUUGUGUGGGGCAAAGAUAUUCUUUCUUCUUAGUCAUAUAUUUGCUUUUUUUUGGCCGCGCUGCUCAGGUUGCGGGAUCUUGUUUCCCAGACCAAGGAUCGAACCCGUUCCCCCUGCAUUGGUAGCGUGGAGUCUUAGCCACUGUGCCACCAGGGAAGUCCCCCCAUUGGAAGCGCAGAGUCCUAACCACUGGACAGCCAGGGAAUCCCUGCAUGUAUUUGUUUUUACAUGACCCAGAAAGACUCUGAUCUUCCCUAAUUCUCAAAUAGUGGUGUGAGUAGAACUUACCUGAAAAAUUUUGCAAGACAUGGAGAUCCCAUAAUGAUUGAUCAACCUCCCUACUGAUCACAUGCUGAAAUCCCCAUCCUGUUUUAUCCCCAUGGACUUGGACCUGAUGGGACUUCACGUUUCACAAGGAUUGAUUGGGGUCACGCUGUCAGCUACUUGCAUAUUUGGAUUUAAAUGCAGUUUCAAUCACUUGUACUUCUCAUGAAGUUUUUUUUUUUUUUUUUUGUGGUACGUGCGCCUCUCACUGUUGUGGCCUCUCCCGUUGCGGAGCACAGGCUCCGGAUGCGCAGGCUCAGCGGC